AGAGCUGCUUGGACUGUUCUUUUGUCUUCAUUGUGUAGGAUAGGACAAGACACUGGCUCACCACAAGCAGGACCUUCCAAAUACAGAUGAGCCUGGCCUUGUUAGAAGGGAAGAAGUACAUUCAACAGCAGGAUCAAUGCCAGAGACAACAGAGGGUUAUACGUCUGGUACAUGACUGAAGGAACAACAGCCUUGGAUAAAGAGAAGCUCAGGCAGAUAAAGGGAAUGAAGAGAAGGCUAUUACAUGCUUUGAUUACUUUGCACCUCUCCAGUCCAAAGACCUUGAUUUGCUUUUUCUGUUAUCACCUCCAAGGAUCCCCAAGACAAAGUAUGUUGUGGAUGUGGUAAUAGUAAUUGGUAAGUGUGGCAUUAACUAGCAAGGGUACAAAGUGUACAAAGCUGAAGCUACCUGCACUCUGCAAGACAAUCCUCUUGACCAUAGCAGCUUGUUGUUCCUCUAAAUAUGACACCUGUCACCAACAUCUACAUCAGUGCGUUGAAAAGGGCAAGAGACAGCUUAUUUAGGAGCUGUGUGUCUCUUUUCAUUUGAUGGCAGUUACCAUGCCAGUCUAGUAAUAAUGCCCCUCUCCCCAAAUGGGGGUGCACUGGUCUGCAUCAUGUCACACCAGGGCUGAAAGACAGUCCAACUACAGCCCUGAGAAAGCCAUAUAUAAUUUCAGACAAACAUAUUACAUAUUGCUCCACUUAAUGAUAAUGACCUGAUAAGCAUUAACUAAACCACCUUAGUGAUUAGAACCUGACAAACCAAAACAAGUUUAAGAUGUCUAUCUGUGCUCACCAGCUGUAAUUAAAUAUUUAAUUAUAA